rnacentral:misc_RNA from 1 species
CGCACAUUGCGCCCUUUGGCAUUCCGAAGGGCAUGCCUGUUCGAGCGUCAUUAUCAACCUUCAAACCCCGUGUUUGGCGUUGGGCCCAGGUCGUGCUCUCGCGCGCGACCGGCUCCAAAGACAAUGACGGCGUCCGUGGGACCCUCGGUGCAACGAGCUUUUCCAAAGCACGCGUCGAAGCGGAUCUGCGGGGGCCGGUCUCUGAUUUUAUAUCACUUCUCAGGUUGACCUCGGAUCAGGUAGGGAUACCCGCUGAACUUAA